rnacentral:rRNA from 1 species
GAUGAACGCUAGCGGGAGGCCUAACACAUGCAAGCCGAGCGGUAGAGUUUCUUCGGAAACUUGAGAGCGGCGCACGGGUGCGUAACACGUAUGCAACCUACCUUUAUCUGGGGGAUAGCCUUUCGAAAGGAAGAUUAAUACCCCAUAAUAUAAUGAUUGGCAUCAAUUAUUAUUGAAAACUCCGGUGGAUAGAGAUGGGCACGCGCAAGAUUAGAUAGUUGGUGAGGUAACGGCUCACCAAGUCAAUGAUCUUUAGGGGUCCUGAGAGGGAGAUCCCCCACACUGGUACUGAGACACGGACCAGACUCCUACGGGAGGCAGCAGUGAGGAAUAUUGGACAAUGGGUGAGAGCCUGAUCCAGCCAUCCCGCGUGAAGGAUGACGGUCCUAUGGAUUGUAAACUUCUUUUGUACAGGGAUAAACCUACCCUCGUGAGGGUAGCUGAAGGUACUGUACGAAUAAGCACCGGCUAACUCCGUG